UUAGGAGAGGAAUCGCAGAAGGCACUUGCUCAUGUCUGCCCUCCCGUUUUGCAUGCCGCUCGUCGUCAAGUGCAACAACACCAGCCAAUAGUAUCGGUAACAAUACCACCAGCUCCACUAGCAGCACCAUCACGAUUACCUUCGCGGACGCUUUGUCCUAUUCGUGCUCCUGCACUAUACCCAACGAAUUUGUGCGCGAAAACGGAACGAACACCCCACGAAUCGAUUUCUCCUGAAAUUCCAUUCCCCGUGGACUAUUUGAGAAAUAGUCGAGAGUCAAAGGAGAUUGGU